AAGAAUUUUUCCAAGUUAAGUACCCAUAUAUGACAUCUUGUACAAAAUUUGCCCUAAAACUGACCAAACGUGACUCGAUAACUACCUCUUUCGUGGCUCUUCCAAAAUAACUUUUUGCUACCCAAUCCAUGCUUAAAAAUGCCAUUCACAGAAUUUGUCCAAAGUUAGGUACCCAUAUAUGACAUGUUGUACAAAAUUUGCCCUAAAACCGACCAAACGCGACUCGAAAA